rnacentral:sRNA from 1 species
CCCUAGCCCCGAUUGCAACGACAUCCUUUUUCUGAAAUGGUCUUGAAAAGCGUUGGCGAAAAAGAUAUAGUGGAAAGCGGGAUUAAGC